rnacentral:misc_RNA from 1 species
UUCGGUUUGGGUGCAUCGCC